GUUUGCUUCAGCAGUACAUAUACUAAUAUUGAAAGGAUACAGAGAAGAUUAGCAUGGCCCCUGUGCAAGGAUGACAUGAAAAUGUACAAAGCAUUCCACGUUAAA